UCAAAGGAGGACCAGGAUUUAAGCCUCACAUUACCAGAAAGAGAGCUCCAAGAAGAGCAGAAAGGGCCAUCUCGAAGGGGAGCUGGGCCUCAGAGAGAAAGAAGCUAAACAUUUCCUGGCGUGCCCUGUAAUAACAGGCAGCUGUCCCGUCAACUCCGCCGAAAAAUGAGAUAAUAAGGCAGGCAAAUGAUGUCUUUUAUAUCCCGAAUCUACCACUUCCUGCAGUUUUCUUCUCAAACGCUUUAAGUAACAAGGAUCUGGGCGAUUUUCACACUGUUUCUUCUUCUUCUAAAAAGAUCACUCACUGGGGACAAGGAGACCUCUUGCUGAUCCUGCUGCUUGUGGUGGGGUUUCAGGAGAUAACAACAGCCAGAGAAACACAUUCUGGAACAUCCUGGACGUGAGUUGGGUGUUACAUGUAGGAGGAAAGAGCCGACGGUCUGAAUGGAGGGAAGGGCCAAACGUCUGAAUGAAUCCGUAAACUCCUCUUACACAGACAGCCAGAGAGAAAAACUUGCUUUACUUCAUCUGUUAUUCUGACUCUAAAGAACUCUGCCCCAUGGAAGAAGGCUCUCACUCCUACGACAAAGUUAACGUUCUAUUUCCUGCCCUUCCCUGGAACUAGCCUUGGAGCAGCCGCAGGGUGGGGACUGCUCCCGGGCCGGGAAUGCCGUGCCCACUGCCAGGCCUGUGCAGAGAGCAGGCAGCCCCUGAGCAGGGCUUUGUCUUACCCGGGGUUCAGGCUGCGCCCCGGUUGUGAACCGAUCUUCAGGGGAGGUGCCCUCUGGGGAAAAGAGGAAUUCCAUAGAUGACUGACUGAAGGAGUUUGCUGCCUUCCAGACUGCACUUUUUGCUCUCUCCCCUCUCUCUGAAAGUGUGGUCAAGGUAAGGUCUGUGCAGUGGAGAGCCUAGUGUGGUUUGUUAGCACUGCUGACCCACGUUUCCCGACGGAAACGAAGCACCCUUUGAUUCACUCCAAUGUUUUUCUCUCUCUAGCCUCCUCUUCUCCCCUAAUUUGUUUCCUUUUCGCUCCUCUUCUGAGGAGGGAAUUAUAUAUUAUUGAGCACUAAUGUGUUCAACUGCUUUAUGAGUAUUACCUCAUAGAGUCCUCCUAACAACAC